rnacentral:rRNA from 1 species
GACGUAGGGCGCGAGCGUUGUCCGGAUUUAUUGGGCGUAAAGGGCUCGUAGGCGGCCAACUAAGUCAGACGUGAAAUCCCUCGGCUUAACCGGGGAACUGCAUCUGAUACUGGAUGGCUUGAGUUCGGGAGAGGGAUGCGGAAUUCCAGGUGUAGCGGUGAAAUGCGUAGAUAUCUGGAGGAACACCGGUGGCGAAGGCGGCAUCCUGGACCGACACUGACGCUGAGGAGCGAAAGCCAGGGGAGCAAAGCGGG